GCACUCUAGGGAGACUGCCGGUGACAAACCGGAGGAAGGUGGGGAUGACGUCAAGUCCUCAUGGCCUUUAUGUCCAGGGCUACACACGUGCUACAAUGGCGCGUACAGAGGGACGCCAAACCGCGAGGUGGAGCAGACCCCAGAAAGCGCGUCGUAGUUCGGAUUGCAGUCUGCAACUCGACUGCAUGAAGUCGGAAUCGCUAGUAAUCGCGGAUCAGCAUGCCGCGGUGAAUACGUUCCCGGGCCUUGUACACACCGCCCGUCACACCAUGGGAGUAGAUUGUACCAGAAGCGGCUAGCCUAAACCUUCGGGAGGGCGGUUACCACGGUAUGGUUUAUGACUGGGGUGAAGUCGUAACAAGGUAGCCGUAGGGGAACCUGCGGCUGGAUC
rnacentral:rRNA from 1 species